AGCGAACGCUGGCGGCAGGCCUAACACAUGCAAGUCGAACGAACUCUUCGGAGUUAGUGGCGGACGGGUGAGUAACACGUGGGAACGUGCCUGUAGGUUCGGAAUAACUCAGGGAAACUUGUGCUAAUACCGGAUGUGCCCUUCGGGGGCAAGAUUUAUCGCCUUUAGGGCGGCCCGCGUCUGUUUAGCUAGUUGGUGAGGUAAAGGCCCACCAAGGCGGCGAUCAGUAGCUGGUCUGAGAGGAAGGUCAGCCACAUUGGGACUGGGACACGGCCCAAACUCCGGCGGAAGGGAGCAAGGGGGAAUCAUGCGUAACGGGCGAAAGCCGGACGCAGCCGUGCCGCGUGAAUGAUGAGGGGCGUAGGAAAGUAAAAUGCUUUAUCCGGGGACGAUAAGGAGGGAACCCGAAGAAGAAGCCCGGCCUAACUCCGG
rnacentral:rRNA from 1 species